rnacentral:rRNA from 1 species
UACGGGGGGGGGCAAGCGUUGUUCGGAUUUACUGGGCGUAAAGGGCGCGUAGGCGGCCAGCACAAGUCAGUUGUGAAAUCUCCGAGCUUAACUCGGAAAGGUCAACUGAUACUGUGCGGCUAGAGUGCGGAAGGGGCAACUGGAAUUCUCGGUGUAGCGGUGAAAUGCGUAGAUAUCGAGAGGAACACCUGCGGCGAAGGCGGGUUGCUGGGCUGACACUGACGCUGAGGCGCGAAAGCCAGGGGAGCGAACGGG